GGGGGUGUGGCACGGUUCGCCUCGGAGCGCCGGCCUGUCACGCCGGAGGUCGCGGGUUCGAGUCCCGUCCGCUCCGCCA
rnacentral:tRNA from 1 species